rnacentral:rRNA from 1 species
UCAACAACGGAUCUCUUGGUUCCGGCAUCGAUGAAGAACGCAGCGAAAUGCGAUACGUAAUGUGAAUUGCAGAAUUCAGUGAAUCAUCGAGUCUUUGAACGCACAUUGCGCCCUCUGGUAUUCCGGAGGGCAUGCCUGUCCGAGCGUCAUU